AUACGGAGGAUCCGAGCGUUAUCCGGAUUUAUUGGGUUUAAAGGGUGCGUAGGCGGCCUUUUAAGUCAGCGGUUAAAUCGUGGGGCUCAACCCCAUUCUGCCGUUGAUACUGGGUGGCUUGAUUGCGGUCGAGGUUGGCGGAAUUCGCUGUGUAGCGGUGAAAUGCAUAGGUAUGACGAAGAACACCGAUUGCGUAGGCAGCUGACCAGACCGCAAAUGACGCUCAUGCACGAAAGUGCGGGGAUCGAACAGGAUUAGAUACCCUGGUAGUCCGCACAGUAAACAUUGAAUACUUGUUUUCGGCGAUAUAAUGUCGGAGGCAAAGCGAAAGCGAUAAGUAUUCAACCUGGGGAGUACGCCGGCACCGGUGAAACUCAAAGGAAUUGACGGGG
rnacentral:rRNA from 1 species